AGUGAUCAGAAGGGACUGACUCCUGC
rnacentral:sRNA from 1 species